rnacentral:rRNA from 1 species
CCAUGUCUUUGUAAUUGGAAUGAGUAAACUUUAAAUCACUUUACGAGUAUCAAUUGGAGGGCAAGUCUGGUGCCAGCAGCCGCGGUAAUUCCAGCUCCAAUAGCGUAUAUUAAAGUUGUUGCGGUUAAAAAGCUCGUAGUUGGAUUUCUGUUGAGGGCGACCGGUGUACACCUCGUGUAUUAUUUGGUUCGGUCUCGGCAUCCUCUUGGGGAACGUUUCUGGACUUUAUUGGACAGGGCGAGAUUCAAGACUUUUACUUUGAGGAAAUUAGAGUGUUCACGGCAGGCAAGCGCUUUGAAUACAUUAGCAUGGAAUAAUAAUAUAGGACCUUCGUUCUAUUUUGUUGGUUUCUAGAACUUAGGUAAUGAUUAAUAGGGACAAUUGGGGGCAUUCGUAUUAACGCGUCAGAGGUGGAAUUCUUGGAUUGCGUUACGACGAACUACUGCGAAAGCAUUUGCCAAAGAUGUUUUCAUUGAUCAAGAACGAAAGUAUGGGGAUCGAAGACGCUUAGAUACCGUCGUAGUCUAUACCAUAAACUAUGCCAACUAGAGAUUGGUGGGGUUCUCCUAU